GAUGAACGCUGGCGGCGUGCCUAAUACAUGCAAGUCGAGCGAACAGACGAGGAGCUCGCUCCUCUCACGUUAGCUGCGGACGGGUGAGUAACACGUGGAUAACCUACCUAUAUGACUGGGAUAAUUUCGGUAAUCCGGCGCUAAUACCGGAUCAUAUAUUGAACCGGAUGUUUCAAUAGUUAUAGUCGGUUUUGCUGUCUCUUAUAGAUGUUUCCGCGCCGCAUUAUCUAGUUGGUAAGGUAACGGCCUACCAAGGCAACGAUGCGUAGCCGACCUGAGAGGGUGAUAUGCCACACUGGAGCUGAGACACGGUCAAGACUCCUACGGGAGGCAGGCGUUGGGAAUCGAACGAAAUGGGCGAAAGCAUGACGCAGCCGAGCCACGUGAGUGAUGAGGGUCUUCGGAUCGUAAAAAUCUGUUAUUAGGGAAGAACAAAUGAGUAAGUAAAUAUGCACGUCUUGACGGUACCUAAUGAAAAAGCCACGGCUAACUACGUG
rnacentral:rRNA from 1 species